CCUUUCCUUGUCAUGGGGUCGAAAAACUGCUUAAUGAACAUAUAAUGAGAACAGGCCUGCUAACACCAUACCUAACAUAAUCGCAUCACCUGACUUCUUGAAGUCAGACAAUGAUGCAAUUUUUAGAAAC